GUGAAGAUGGUGCUGUGUUGUGGAAAGGGGAUGCAGACCCUGCCCAGCACCACCACCUCCUAUGCUCCUGG
rnacentral:miRNA from 1 species